ACAGGAACUUAGUAAUCAUGAGACUGUGUGAAUUGUAACUUCGGAAUUCUGGUUUCUUUAAACAUAAGAUGAGUAUUAAAAGUCCUUUCCUCUCAAGACUGCUUGGUGUUUAUGGAUAUACAGAGCAUUUGACAGUUACAUUCAUAUUAUAAAUAGCCAUAUAGCUUACAUUGCUAGCAGUAUAAUAUGGUUAUAUGUAUGACUAGCAUGGCUAUAUUAUAUAUAUAUUAUAUAUGUGUAUGUACAUAUAUAAUACAUAUAUAGCAUUAUUUAUUGCUGGUUAGAUGAACCUUUUAUAUUCUAAAUUAUGAAAAAUGUGACAUUCAGGAGGCCCCUCCUUCUCUCUCUCCCUCCCUUCUUCCCCCUCUCUCCUUUCCUCUUUCUCUCCUUCUUUCCCUACCUUCUUCCUUCCAUUCACCCCUCUCUCUUCUUUCCUUCCUUUACUGUGCAAACUUAGGUAGGGAUGUGACUUUUAAGCUUGGAGUUGCAUUUAUUUCAGGCACAACAGGCAGGGAUGAGGGCUGUGGUUAAAAUCUCACCUUCUACACUCUUACCCCACAAUUCAGGGACAAUGAGCAUCACGGGGUGGGGGUAGCAGGCACAGUCGAGUUGGCAGCUGGACAGUGAGCCUAGAGGGGGUCCUGGAGUCUGGCAGAUGGUUAAUUGGAAAUGACAAAGGGGGCUGAGAGGGAGGGGUCUACAGUUCCUGUGGGAUUUCCAUCCCUGUCUACUUACUGUUCGGGAAGGGAGGGUAUGAGCAAGGAGGAACUGAUCACCAACAGUUGGAGAAAGAGAUUGGCCAGACUCCCUGUCGGGAUGGUGGCUAUUGAAGAUGUUCCAUUGGAAUAAAGCCACAGCUUUAGAUCAGAGGGAAAGCCCAGGAUUCCCAGCCCCUUCUCAGUGUCCCAGUGGCACAGGCACAGCACUUGCUCAGAUACUGCAGUCUAAGGAGAUGCUUGACCAAGUGUCGGACCAGAAUGAUUUUCUAGGAUGAUGGUGCAUCAUGUGGUGAAAAUGCAAAGGAUUAGCAGCCCCACCAGGAUGUAUGUGGAGAGGAGUCAUGGGGUCACCCCGGUUCAGUGGUAAAAAAAUGAACACAGAGACUACAGACAGCCAUUCAGGGAGUUUGGUGGAGAAAGCAAAGAGACAAAUUAAAUGGUAGCAAAAGGACAUCUUUGCACAUUUGCUAGUACUCUUUGUUUUUUUGUUUUUUGUUUUGUUACAGGUGCAUGAAAAUUUAGAUUUAUUUGUGUGAUUUUAUGCACAUAUAUUAAACUUUAGCCAAGUAUUUUAGUGGGUUAUCAGGUCUAGUGAGGUUGUGGUUUUUGUUUGUUUGUUUGUUUGUUUGUUUGUUUUUGUUUUGUUUUGUAGAAAACCUUGGAGACAGCAGUAGAAACUGAACAUGUUAAGAGAUAGAAUGUCAUGGAAAGAGUAUCCUGAGAUUCCUGGGGCUAAUUCUGAAAGGGAUGCUGACUGCUUCUGUGGAUAUGUGGGAGUCUAGGUGGUCUCUUAGUCAGAAGCUAGAGCUGUUAUUAAGCUGACCUGAGUUGCCUUGGUGCACGAGCACCAAGAUGAAGCUCGGAGAGCUGCUGGGAGCUUGGGGAGAGAAGAGCAGACUGCACAUAAUCUCUGGAGAAUGAAUGGCAAUUGCAUAAACAGAUGAUCUCUGCAGUGAUGUCAGAGCAGACCAGCAUGCCAGCGUUCUGCAUUGCUUUCCAGCCUGUGGGUUCUAGGUUGGGAAUAAAAAUAGGACUCAGAUGUCUCUGGCUGGUGUCCUGGACACUGAGUCUGGAGUGGAAAUAAGGUACAUAUCCUUGUUUGGACACCAGCACUGUCACAAAUCCUUAUAGAAACCGAUGGCCCCAAGACCACCCGGAGGCCUUGGCUUGGACAAUGUGCACGUCCGUAUGCAGCAGCUGUACUGUAUAUACAUUUAUUUUGCUUUGGACUUUUCUAUAUUUUCAUUACCCAGCUCAGUGCCUCACAUAUAAUAGUUGCUUAACUAUUAUUUGUUGGCCUGAUUUUUCUUUUCUUACAAAAGCUAAUUAUUGGUGUGUAUGCCAUUUGGGAGUUACUCAAUGCUGUGUGAAGGAAAUAAAAAUAAUUUUUGUGGACAGGCAAUUCUACCUUAAACAAAGAGACUUGUAAAAUCAACACUGUGGAAUGCAGCUAUUUGUUGAGUCUGAAUUAGUCAGAGGGGAUCCUUUGGAACACUUGAUUAUAAAUACCCACAUAUUUCAUAAGCACUGGAAAAGUAGAUAGAGAUGCAUUCUGGGUGGGUUUUCUUUUCUUUCUUUCUUUCUUUUUUUUUCUUUCUUUCUUUUUUUUUUUUUUUUUUUUUGCUUGUUUGGUUUGUUUUUGGAAAACCCCAGUAGGAAAGUGCAAAUGUGCAACUAUGUCUUCUAGUCAGUACUGAGGGGAUGGCGGGCAUGCUGGAUGCUGUGAGAACUGCUAAACACGACAGCUCAUGCUUCUUUUCCUUGAAUAUCUUUUGGUCUUGGGGGGAGGGGGAAGUGGCCAGGGACCAACCAGAAAGGGAAUUUCCACAUGCCUUGAUCCACAUGAUAUGUUUUUAUUGCCACUAAGUUAAACACAUUUAAAUAGGAAGACAAAGAAAGAUGGUUUUAAGGUAUCCUUUUACAGAACACUUAGCUUUUCCUAUCUCAGGGCUGUUAUAAUGCUGCUUAGUGUAGUGGAUUGAGAACGUCAAGUGUGAAGGAUACAAAAGCUACUGUAAUCCCAACUGCCCAGAGAAUCCUUGUCUGAUAACUUGACACGUUCCCUUCUGUCCUUUAUGUCCAUGACUUGCUUUUGGUUAUUGACUUAAGAUGAGAAACAAAUGCUGAAGCGAUGGUUAGACUCUUUGUGAACUGAGUCAUUUUUUCCCCUUACUUUAAAUGUAAAAUACACAAGUACCCGUGUAUCUCAUUGUACAAAGUAAGGCUGUCAUAGGCCAAAUAACCUUCGUGUGAGGAUAGGAAAACAGAAGGUUCUUCAGUUGUGUGGAAGGGUAAAGACAUUGAUACUUUGUAUGAUAAUAUCUAUAUAUAUAUUUGCACAGAAGAUAUUAUUCCUCCCCCAUAUUUUGAUGAAUUUAACAGAUAGAUAUGCCUACUGCCUAUAUAAAUAUGUGUUUACAUAAAUGUGCAGCUCUCUUUUAUGUG
rnacentral:lncRNA from 1 species